rnacentral:misc_RNA from 1 species
GGGAGAAAGACAUACUACUGCAUGGAAAAGUUGCAAUGCAUUGAUUUAACAUCUAUAUCUGUGUGAUGGAAAGAUGGGUUUUUUAUUAUGACGUCAUGGUUUUGUGCUGAGGGUAAUUAUAUGUGAAAUGAAGCUAAUGGAUUCAAUAAAUGAAGUCAAAUUUCAUGAAUUAAAUUUUGAAAUCAGAGAAAUCAGAAUCUGCUUGUGUACAUUUUACUAAAUUGCAUUGGUCUUUCUCAGAGAGAGAGAGAGAGAGAGAUAUCUUACUUUAUAUAUAAAUUUUACAUAUUUGUUAAUUGUUGUAUAUCAUAUGAUGAUAAAUUUGAACAGAGGAUAAAUCUGUACCAUAAUGAAAAUUCAAAUGUUUUGCUCAAGUUAUUAAUUUCGAAUGACAGUCAACAAAAACUGAUUUUUUAUUCCAUUUAAUUGUUCUGUAAGUACAUUGCAUGUCAAAAAUUACAAUUUAUUUUUAAUAGGUUCUCUUUUUAAAAUUACUUUAUAUAGGGUUCUGCAUUUGAUAGAUAUGUUGAGUGACUCUGAGGAAAGAGUGGAAAUAAUGCUACAAACCGAAUUUAUCAUAUUUUCCGUCCAUUUAAUGAAAUCAGAAAAACUAAUCAUAAAGAUGAAUAACUGUAAACCAACUUUUGUUUGCAUGCGAGAAAUUUUCAUGAGGUUAGCGCGAGCCUUGUCGUCGCGAAUAUUUCUUGCCGCGAACCAAUCCUUUGUCUAUAGUUUUGAUAACAAUACAGGUCUGGAUAAGACUUGGUAGCGAACAUUUAUUUAGUCCUCAUAAACUUGUUUAUUGGCAGUUAAUAGCGAAAUAAAGUUGCUUCGCAUGAAAAUUGGUUAACAGUAGUUUAUUUAAUAUAUGCAUUUUCUGUUUGUUGUAAAAAAAAAAAAUAAAAAGCAAAGAAAAUAUAU